rnacentral:rRNA from 1 species
UACGGAGGGGGCUAGCGUUGUUCGGAAUUACUGGGCGUAAAGCGCGCGUAGGCGGACCUGCAAGUCGGGGGUGAAAGCCCGAGGCUCAACCUCGGAACUGCCUUCGAUACUGCGGGUCUCGAGUCCGGGAGAGGUGAGUGGAAUUCCUAGUGUAGAGGUGAAAUUCGUAGAUAUUAGGAAGAACACCAGUGGCGGAAGGCGGCUCACUGGCCCGGUACUGACGCUGAGGCGCGAAAGCGUGGGGAGCAAACAGG